rnacentral:lncRNA from 1 species
UCAAGUCCACAAUUCUUAUCGAUUCAAUAUCAUUUCAAUCCAUACAAAUUCAAUACAAAUAUUAUUUCCAUUUACAAUUCCAUAAUUUCAUUACAAAAAUGUUCAUGUCCAUACAAAAAUUAUAAUUUGGCCAAAAUUCACUAUAGUUUACUUUUGGUCAACAAUUGACGUUUUCGUCAACCAAUUGACCAAAGUCAAUUGACCCUCCCUUGACCCCCUAUGACCUAUUUCCACCCAUCUUUCUUUGAUUCAUCACCAAAAACCUUCUUUUCCUUGAUUUUUUUCAUGACCAAGCAACUUGGUCCAUGUCCAGGCCAGACUACCAAAUGGACCAGCCAAACCACCAAACCAACCAACAAACAGACCACCA